UCCACCAUUUCUUUUCCCCAAUCAUAUUACUCCACCAUAUCUUCUCUAAACCGAUUUGUGUCCCCUCUAACGUCUCACCCCUGAUACUUCAAACCACCAUCGAUUUAUCCACUUUAGUUCAACAGGGAAGCAACAAGAACCAAGAACGCAUUCUGGCGUUGUUGGUGUUGGUGGUGCGACGACGUGGGUUGCUGGUGGCGGUGACGGGAGGCGUUGUGGUCUUCAGGUGUCGCAAAUUGAUUGCUUGGUGGCAGUUAUGUUCCACCGCUAUGAGUUCCGAUCAAUUUAGUCCAGGUAACGUCGCUCGCCACCAUGGUCCAAGCCACCGUCGUUCUCCACCACCGAUUAUCCCUGCAGGUGAUUCUCCCAGGAACACAUGGUGUGCGAAUAUAGCUUCAUCGCCUGAUUUCCUUCUUAUAUUCCUUCACUGAUCGAGCCUUGAUUGCUUCGUCGAUGACUACAACCCAGAAAUCAGUUUCGUUAUGUUCUAUGCCUUUGUUAAUGGCAAGAGUUGCGUCCGAUGUUCCUCGAAAAUCAGAAGAAAAAAUUCAGAUGCAUAUCCCCAUAUGCUCGAAAAGAAAUAAAUUCAGAUUCAUAUCCCCAUAUGCUCGAAAAUCAAAGGCAUACAUUCAUAUCGUCGAAAACAAGAAGUGGAAUUGUAUACAGAUACCAAUUUGUUGGCAUGAAAUCCUGAUGAUAUCAUCGUUCUUUUUCAGAACGUCGAUGAGCAAAAUGAUGAAUGAUGAAGCAACGGUAUUUUUACGCAUUGAGGCCCAUAUUUUCCAAUAUUACCCGUUUAUUGGUCACUCUAAUUCCAUUUUAUCAAUAU